CACCGGGGCCUUCUACCUGAUUUGAGGUCAACUUUAAGAACAUUGUUCGCCUAGACGCUCUCUUCUUAUCGAUAACGUUCCAAUACGCUCAGUAUAAAAAAAGAUUAGCCGCAGUUGGUAAAACCUAAAACGACCGUACUUGCAUUAUACCUCAAGCACGCAGAGAAACCUCUCUUUGGAAAAAAAACAUCCAAUGAAAAGGCCAGCAAUUUCAAGUUAACUCCAAAGAGUAUCACUCACUACCAAACAGAAUGUUUGAGAAGGAAAUGACGCUCAAACAGGCAUGCCCCCUGGAAUACCAAGGGGCGCAAUGUGCGUUCAAAGAUUCGAUGAUUCACGGAAUUCUGCAAUUCACAUUACGUAUCGCAUUUCGCUGCGUUCUUCAUCGAUGCGAGAACCAAGAGAUCCGUUGUUGAAAGUUUUUAAUAUUUUAAAAUUUCCAGUUACGAAAAUUCUUGUUUUUGACAAAAAUUUAAUGAAUAGAUAAAAUUGUUUGUGUUUGUUACCUCUGGGCCCCGAUUGCUCGAAUGCCCAAAGAAAAAGUUGCAAAGAUAUGAAAACUCCACAGUGUGUUGUAUUGAAACGGUUUUAAUUGUCCUAUAACAAAAGCACAGAAAUCUCUCACCGUUUGGAAUAGCAAGAAAGAAACUUACAAGCCUAGCAAGACCGCGCACUUAAGCGCAGGCCCGGCUGGACUCUCCAUCUCUUGUCUUCUUGCCCAGUAAAAGCUCUCAUGCUCUUGCCAAAACAAAAAAAUCCAUUUUCAAAAUUAUUAAAUUUCUUUAAUGAUCCUUCCGCAGGUCACCCUACGGAA
rnacentral:misc_RNA from 1 species